CCGCAGAAGGAGAGCACUACCUGGAAUGGAAUCCAGGGGCAAGCACAGGAGGGGUACGGCUGGAAAAACCGCCGUGCAACCCAAAGGUGUGACGCAUACCGAACUAAAGUAGGGAAAUGUGUGAGCCGGCUGCCGAGAAAAGCCGCUAUUGUUUGUACUGUACCCGUACCGUAAACCGACACAGGUGGAUGAGGAGAGAAUCCUAAGGCCGACGGAAGAAGCAUUGCUAAGGAACUCGGCAAAAUGACCCUGUAACUUCGGGAGAAAGGGUGCCUCGAAAGAGGCCGCAGAGAAUAGGCCCAAGCAACUGUUUAGCAAAAACACAGGUCUAUGCAAAACCGCAAGGUGAAGUAUAUGGGCUGACGCCUGCCCGGUGCUGGAAGGUUAAGGGGAGAUGUCAGGAGACGAAGCAUCGAACUUAAGCCCCAGUAAACGGCGGCCGUAACAAUAACGGUCCUAAGGUAGCGAAAUUCCUUGUCGGGUAAGUUCCGACCCGCACGAAAGGCGUAAUGAUUUGGGCGCUGUCUCGGCAAUGCAUCCGGUGAAAUUGAAGUGCCAGUGAAGAUGCUGGCUACCCGCGCCAGGACGGAAAGACCCCAUGGAGCUUUACUCCAGCUUGAUACUGGGAUUCGGUAUUGUAUGUACAGGAUAGGUGGGAGGCUGAGAAAUGGUGACGCCAGUCGCCAUGGAGCCGCUGUUGGGAUACCACCCUUGCAGUACUGGAUUUCUAACCAGCAGCCGUGAUCCGGCUGGGGGACAAUGUCAGGUGGGGAGUUUGACUGGGGCGGUCGCCUCCGAAAGGGUAUCGGAGGCGCUCAAAGGUUCCCUCAGAAUGGUCGGAAACCAUUCGAAGAGUGCAAAGGCAGAAGGGAGCUUGACUGCGACACCGACGGGUGGGGCAGGUACGAAAGUAGGACUUAGUGAUCCGGUGGUAUUAAGUGGGAAUGCCAUCGCUCAACGGAUAAAAGCUACCCUGGGAUAACAGGCUUAUCACUCCCAAGAGUUCACAUCGACGGAGUGGUUUGGCACCUCGAUGUCGGCUCAUCGCAUCCUGGGGCUGUAGUAGGUCCCAAGGGUUGGGCUGUUCGCCCAUUAAAGCGGUACGCGAGCUGGGUUCAGAACGUCGUGAGACAGUUCGGUCCCUAUCCGGCGUGGGCGUAGGAUAUUUGAGAGGAGCUGACCUUAGUACGAGAGGACCGGGUUGGACUGACCUCUGGUGCACCGGUUGUCAUGCCAAUGGCACAGCCGGGUAGCCAAGUCGGGAAGGGAUAAACGCUGAAGGCAUCUAAGCGUGAAGCCCCCCUCAAGAUGAGAUAUCCCCCGCAUAAGCGGUAAGACCCCUUGAAGACGACGAGGUAGAUAGGGCAGAGGUGGAAGUGCAGUAAUGUAUGGAGCUGACUGCUACUAAUAGGUCGAAGGCUUACC
rnacentral:rRNA from 1 species